UAACUGUAGGUGAACCUGCAGUUGGAUCAUUGCAAGGCACUGGAACCGGGGAUACGGUUGGGGUUGCUUGUGCUUGGGGGUGGCCUCGCAAGAGGCCCUUCGAACGAGCCUGGCGGCUGCUUGACCCACCCGGUGCUCGGCGUUCGCGCCCUGUGCUUUGGUGGCUGAGCAAUGCACGAGCCGGGCAAGUCGGAGCCCAGGGAAACGCGGUGGCAGUAUCCCUGCCACGCCAGCGGACCCGAAUGGCGCUUCCCGCACUCCACACAACUGGCCACGAUCGAUGUCUCGGCUCGA
rnacentral:misc_RNA from 1 species